UCUUCCGUGCAAACUGUGCAAACUCUAAUCCGGACCGCAGGAUGUUGAUCCAAAGGAGCGCAUGAGAGAGGUGGAACGGAUCUAGUGCAAACUCAUCUUCCGUGCAAACUGUGCAAACUCUAAUCUGGACCGCAGGAUGUUGAUCCAAAGGAGCGCAUGAGAGAGGUGGAAGGAGAGAUUUGUAAAAGUGUGAUUAAGAGCGGGCGGUUAAGUGCAAAAUUACCAAUCUCUCCGUGCUCCUUGGAUCAACAUCAUGUGGUCCAGAUUAGAGUUUGCACAGUUUAACGGAAGAUGAGUUUGCACUAGAUCCGUUGCCUAGAUAAAUAUAUAAUAACCAUGACACAAAAUUAAGACCAAUUUGGUACAACUUCAUCAACAAUUUCAAGAGCUGUUGUAAGCUGUUUUUUACCGAAGACCCCUUUUCAAAAAAACUCAUCAUGAACUAAGCUUUCUUUUUUUAUGCUCUCGAAAAGAAAUUGAGGAGAUAUGAAGCUGAAAAAAUAGCUUUUCACAUCUCUCUCCCAUAUUUUCCUCUCUCAGCCAUGUAUAAAGCUAUUUUGCCAACCAAUUUUUUUCAAAACGGUUCAGUUUCACCAAGAAAACAUUUCAUGAAGCUAUUUUCUAUAAAAUAAUUUCACUGGUGAAGCUGUGCCAUGUCAAAUGAGGCAUUACUAUCCACCUCAGGUAUUUUUUUGGGGACAAUAAUAAUCGUAGACAAAUUCACACGCACACUCUGCAUACGCAAGCCCAACACUCUCAUAGUUGCACACCUCGGCCCAGGAACGUACCCAAAUCCAGUGACGGACGGACGGGGGGGGGGGGGGGCUGGGGGGGCUGCAGCCCCCCUCGUGGGCCGAAAACGCUUGGAGCAAAUCUUCAUCAGGCCCAAAAGUUUGUGACCUAAAAAAAACUCACUCGACGCCAGUCCACACGCACGCGACCCCGACGCUCGCCCGCUCUGCGCCCGACGCCCGACCCCUCCCCUCUCCACGCGCUCCUCCACUCCACCGUCUCCAGUCUCCACUGCGCCGCGCCGCCGCCCGCCGGGACAGCCAGCGACUCAGCGAGGAUCGAGGCCUCGGCCCUCGAGGGAGGCCAGCGGC
rnacentral:lncRNA from 1 species